AACCACAGCACCCAGGAUUCCCGCGUGGUCCC
rnacentral:rRNA from 1 species